GACGAAGGGGGCUAGCGUUGUUCGGAAUUACUGGGCGUAAAGCGCGUGUAGGCGGUUGUCCAAGUUGGAUGUGAAAGCCUUGAGCUCAACUCAAGAAAUGCAUUCAGGACUGGGCGACUAGAGGACCGGAGAGGAUAGUGGAAUUCCCAGUGUAGUGGUGAAAUACGUAGAGAUUGGGAAGAACACCAGUGGCGAAGGCGGCUAUCUGGACGGUUUCUGAUGCUAAGACGCGAAAGCGUGGGGAGCAAACAGG
rnacentral:rRNA from 1 species